UCUCCAUACGUUUGGGUAGCUAGGAUUGGAUCUCUCUAUUUCUUAAUGCAAUUGACAAUUGUUUUGAUGCCUGAGGCCCAAGGACGUUCCUUGGCAAUUUGUUAAUUAGUAAUUAAUUAGAGGACGUUCCCUAAUUGGUUUAAUCAUAAGGAGAGAUAAUGGUGGUGAGAAGCGUCUUCCAUCUCCAUAACUAAUCUAUUGAAUCAACCCAAAAGAACAAAGUGUCUGUGAUCAAUCCCAAC
rnacentral:lncRNA from 1 species